rnacentral:rRNA from 1 species
CGCAAGGGAUUAGUAGAGUGGCAAACGGGUGAGUAACACGUGGGUGACCUGCCUUCGAGUGGGGGAUAACGUCCCGAAAGGGACGCUAAUACCGCAUAACAUCCUGCUUUUUAAGAGGUGGAGAUCAAAGCCGGGGAUCGCAAGACCUGGCGCUUGAAGAGGGGCCCGCGUCCGAUUAGCUAGUUGGUGGGGUAAUGGCCCACAAAGGCUACGAUCGGUAUCCGGCCUGAGAGGGCGGACGGACACACUGGGACUGAGACACGGCCCAGACUCCUACGGGAGGCAACAGUGGGGAAUUGUUCGCAAUGGGCGCAAGCCUGACNACGCAACGCCGCGUGGAGGAUGAAGACCUUCGGGUCGUAAACUCCUUUCGAUCGAGACGAAUAGCCUGCGGGUUAACAGCCGGCGGGAAUGACGGUACCGAGAGAAGAAGCCCCGGUUAACUCCGUGCCAGCAGCCGCGGUAAUACGGGGGGGGCAAGCGUUGUU